GAUGAACGCUAGCGGGAGGCCUAACACAUGCAAGCCGAGCGGUAGAGUUUCUUCGGAAACUUGAGAGCGGCGCACGGGUGCGUAACACGUGUGCAACCUACCUUUAUCUGGGGGAUAGCCUUUCGAAAGGAAGAUUAAUACCCCAUAAUAUAAUGAUUGGCAUCAAUUAUUAUUGAAAACUCCGGUGGAUAGAGAUGGGCACGCGCAAGAUUAGAUAGUUGGUGAGGUAACGGCUCACCAAGUCAAUGAUCUUUAGGGGUCCUGAGAGGGAGAUCCCCCACACUGGUACUGAGACACGGACCAGACUCCUACGGGAGGCAGCAGUGAGGAAUAUUGGAUAAUGGGUGAGAGCCUGAUCCAGCCAUCCCGCGUGAAGGAUGACGGUCCUAUGGAUUGUAAACUUCUUUUGUACAGGGAUAAACCUACCCUCGUGAGGGUAGCUGAAGGUACUGUACGAAUAAGCACCGGCUAACUCCGUG
rnacentral:rRNA from 1 species